UACGAAGGGUGCAAGCGUUACUCGGAAUUACUGGGCGUAAAGCGUGCGCAGGCGGUUUUGUAAGUUUGUCGUGAAAGCCCCGGGCUCAACCUGGGAAUUGCGAUGAAGACUGCAAGGCUUGAAUCUGGCAGAGGGGGGUAGAAUUCCACGUGUAGCAGUGAAAUGCGUAGAGAUGUGGAGGAACACCGAUGGCGAAGGCAGCCCCCUGGGUCAAGAUUGACGCUCGAUGCACGAAAGCGUGGGGAGCAAACAGG
rnacentral:rRNA from 1 species